AUUGAACGCUGGCGGCAGGCCUAACACAUGCAAGUCGAACGAGUGGCGGACGGGUGAGUAAUGUCUGGGAAACUGCCUGAUGGAGGGGGCACACUCCUGGAAACGGUCGCUAAUACCGCAUACCAUCGGAUGUGCCCAGAUGGGAUUAGCUAGUAGGUGGGGUAAAGGCUCACCUGGGCGACGACCCCUAGCUGGUCUGAGAGGAUGACCAGCCACACUGGAACUGAGACACGGUCCAGACGCCUACGGGAGGCAGCAGUGGGGAAUAUUGCACAAUGGGCGCAAGCCUGAUGCAGCCAUGCCGCGUGUAUGAAGAAGGCCUUCGGGUUGUAAAGUACUUUCAGCGGGGAGGCGUUACCCGCAGAAGAAGCACCGGCUAACUCCGUGCCAGCAGCCGCGGUAAUUC
rnacentral:rRNA from 1 species